ensembl:snoRNA SNORD58 Small nucleolar RNA SNORD58
CUGCACUGAUGACCUCUUAGGACACCUUUGGAUCAAAGAUGAAACCAACUGUUGAGUCUGAGCAGC